AGUGAACGCUGGCGGUAGGCCUAACACAUGCAAGUCGAACGGCAGCACAGUAAGAGCUUGCUCUUACGGGUGGCGAGUGGCGGACGGGUGAGGAAUACAUCGGAAUCUACUUUUUCGUGGGGGAUAACGUAGGGAAACUUACGCUAAUACCGCAUACGACCUACGGGUGAAAGCAGGGGAUCUUCGGACCUUGCGCGAUUGAAUGAGCCGAUGUCGGAUUAGCUAGUUGGCGGGGUAAAGGCCCACCAAGGCGACGAUCCGUAGCUGGUCUGAGAGGAUGAUCAGCCACACUGGAACUGAGACACGGUCCAGACUACUACGGGAGGCAGCAGUGGGGAAUAUUGGACAAUGGGCGCAAGCCUGAUCCAGCCAUACCGAGUGGGUGAAGAAGGCCUUCGGGUUGUAAAGUCCUUUUGUUGGGAAAGAAAAGCAGCAGGUUAAUACCCCGCUGUUCUGACGGUACCCAAAGAAUAAGCACCGGCUAACUUCGUG
rnacentral:rRNA from 1 species